GGAUGAACGCUGGCGGCGUGCCUACUACAUGCAAGUCGAGCGAACGGACGAGAAGCUUGCUUCUCUGAUGUUAGCGGCGGACGGGUGAGUAACACGUGGAUAACCUACCUAUAAGACUGGGAUAACUUCGGGAAACCGGAGCUAAUACCGGAUGAUAUUUUGAACCGCAUGGUUCAAAAGUGAAAGACGGUCUUGCUGUCACUUAUAGAUGGAUCCGCGCUGCAUUAGCUAGUUGGUAAGGUAACGGCUUACCAAGGCAACGAUGCAUAGCCGACCUGAGAGGGUGAUCGGCCACACUGGAACUGAGACACGGUCCAGACUCCUACGGGAGGCAGCAGUAGGGAAUCUUCCGCAAUGGGCGAAAGCCUGACGGAGCAACGCCGCGUGAGUGAUGAAGGUCUUCGGAUCGUAAAACUCUGUUAUUAGGGAAGAACAUAUGUGUAAGUAACUGUGCACAUCUUGACGGUACCUAAUCAGAAAGCCACGGCUAACUACGUG
rnacentral:rRNA from 1 species